CUUCCUGUACAGGUUCUGGCCCGUUCUUCCUUGUGUUAACGUUCACGUUUUUCAUUAUUCACUUUAUUUAAAGCCGUGCUUUACUACGAUUAAAUCACAAGUGAAACUAGAUGCGUGUAGUUAACAGCGAAUGUACUGGAGGAGGAUAUUUUCCUUCCUAAGUUCACUUGUUGUGAGGAAAUUGGUCUGAGUCUUGAUGUUGGGUCAAAACAAAGUCUAAAUACAGGUAUGUUAACAACAGGUGUGAUGUUAGAAUUGGUGCACUUCACCAAAAUACUGACGGCAUCCUACAGACUUAUUGUUCUCAGUGUGCUGGAGCACAACUUUGAACUUGAUCUCAAGAGUCAAAAAGGAAAAGAUACAAUUUGUUUCAGGAUAUUACACCUAGUAAAGAGAAGAGAUGGACUUGCCACCAAUGGUAGUGAGACACUGAGGAGUGAACAAUUGUAAACGUGAUGAGGCCGAUAUAUAAAGUCCCAUUCACCUGUGUUUCUUCCUGCACCAUGAAGCCCAUUUCUGAACCACGUUUUGGAUGAAGAAGCACUGAUAUUGAGACGUGCUUUCAGACACGAGAGGAUGUUUUGGACAGAUCAGACCAGCGUGAAGCCAUCUCACCAUCCCACACAUGCUCCGUAUGGCACGGCGCUUUUUUGCAAGUCUUUAUAUGCCGAACCUGUAAAUAAAGGCACUAUUUGCUGUACUGUCAGAAGUGUGUGUUUGGCACUGAAGUCCUUGGCACACAUCUUUAUUACCUUCCCUGGCCCCAGAAGAAUGUGUCACAUCAAAGAAGAUUUCCACAAGACAGUCCACAUAUUCCGUGUAAAUGGGUGAUUGUGUUUGAUGUUGAGCGAGAUGGAUGUAAUGGUAAAAUAUGUAAAAUAUGUUAAAACAUUGUCUUGUGCUAAACCUGGGUCUCAAGUGUCCGUAUUUGACCCUGACGUGCAAAGAGCAGCAUGAUACAAAAUGUUAGUUUGCAGCUGUGUCCUGAGAAGGCCUCGAUCUCGAUCUCAUAGACGCUUCGAUACAAGGGACUUCUGUUCAUGGCCUUGGUUCAUAUCUUAUUUGCUUCUCGUACUUGGCACUGAGGAUAGUCUUCACAUGUGUAUAAAAAGUCAGCGUUUUUACUGCUCGGAAACGCCAUUUACACCGAACGCUGAAAUACGUGCUUGUGUGUUCGACCUCCUGCUUGCAAGCAAUAGUUAGAGGCAGAUAUCUGCGGAGAGUUGCUCA
ensembl:lncRNA